UGCAAGUCGAACGGUAACAGGAAGCAGCUUGCUGCUUCGCUGACGAGUGGCGGACGGGUGAGUAAUGUCUGGGAAACUGCCCGGUGGAGGGGGAUAACUACUGGAAACGGUAGCUAAUACCGCAUAACGUCGCAAGACCAAAGAGGGGGACCUUCGGGCCUCUUGCCACCGGAUGUGCCCAGAUGGGAUUAGCUUGUUGGUGAGGUAACGGCUCACCAAGGCGACGAUCCCUAGCUGGUCUGAGAGGAUGACCAGCCACACUGGAACUGAGACACGGUCCAGACUCCUACGGGAGGCAGCAGUGGGGAAUAUUGCACAAUGGGCGCAAGCCUGAUGCAGCCAUGCCGCGUGUAUGAAGAAGGCCUUCGGGUUGUAAAGUACUUUCAGCGGGGAGGAAGGGAUUGUGGUUAAUAACCGCAGUCAUUGACGUUACCCGCAGAAGAAGCACCGGCUAACUCCGUGCCAGCAGCCGCGGUAAUACGGAGGGUGCAAGCGUUAAUCGGAAUUACUGGGCGUAAAGCGCACGCAGGCGGUCUGUCAAGUCGGAUGUGAAAUCCCCGGGCUCAACCUGGGAACUGCAUUCGAAACUGGCAGGCUUGAGUCUCGUAGAGGGGGGUAGAAUUCCAGGUGUAGCGGUGAAAUGCGUAGAGAUCUGGAGGAAUACCGGUGGCGAAGGCGGCCCCCUGGACAAAGACUGACGCUCAGGUGCGAAAGCGUGGGAGCAAACAGGAUUAGAUACCCUGGUAGUCCACGCCGUAAACGAUGUCGACUUGGAGGUUGUGCCCUUGAGGCGUGCUUCCGGAGCUAACGCGUAAGUCGACCGCCUGGGGGAGUACGGCCGCAAGGUUAA
rnacentral:rRNA from 1 species